rnacentral:lncRNA from 1 species
CCCGUGGUGCCUUGGCCUGAGUAGGGAUAAAUUGAAGAAGCAAUUUUUUACCCCCAAAGUUCUGCAGGACUACAGAAAACUCAAGAACACAGCAGAGCAAUUCUUGUCCCGAAGUGGCUACUCCGAAGUGAAUCUGAGCAAACUCUUCGCUGGUUGUGCCGUGAAAUCCUAAGGGAAUCCCAGGAGUAACCAAGGAGGGGGUAGUUGAAAAAUCCCAGCUUCCUCUGUGCCUCCACUCUGGCCCUAAAUGCUCCUCCAGCAUCUGUUUCUCCCUUGGGACUGUGUCUCAUGUUUGUGUGAAUGUAGACCAGGAAAGGGGGCUGCAAAAAUGUUGAGUCUAAUGUUCGUAAGCAUCAUAGAAAUUCCUGUCUUCAUAUUAAGAUGUACUGCUUUAAAACACAACUCCAGAGCCCCUCCCCAAGCUCCCCUCCCCAAGCUCCUGAAGACCCGGUUUCUGAGGGAGGGAAAUUGCUACUUGGAUUGAGAGUAGCUGGAAUGUAAGUGACCCCAGGCUUUGCCUCAGGGCCUUUAGCCUAUGUCCCCCCCACAUAAAGAGAGCUUCUCAGAGCCUGACUGAAGAGCUGACGUUUUGCUUUUUCAUAUGCCAAUUAAACCCGGUCUAAAUCCAAAUGCUUCUCCAGCCAUCCAGGAGUGGCUGUCCUUUUCAGUCUUGUCUUUUAUAUAGGUAGCUGAGGGGGAAGAUUUAGAAGCCUUGCACUCACUAAAUAGAUUAAACAGAGCAGGCUUGUUUGUUGAAUUGCUCCAAAGUCCAACAGACACACACUGAGCAGGUGUUUUACACUCACAUUCCCUUUUUGCCCCUUAAAUAGAAAGUGCAGGUAAAGGUUUAUACAACAAGAAAGCACAUUGAAAAUAAUUUGAUACUCUAACAAUCCAUUAACAUGUGUAGGGGUUACGGUGAGGAUCACUGUGUUGUAUUCAGAAAAACGGGGAGAGGGAUGCUUAAUUGGCCCUGGCGCUUGCUAUUUUUUUCUCAUUUCUUCACAAUAGGACCGUCUUUGGCAGCAGCAAAAUGUAUUUCAGUAUGGCAGUCUUUCCUCUCUUACAUUAUUGGUAAGAUUAUACUAACAAAAUGUUUCCCCUUGUACAAUUAUGCUGUGUUUUUAAAAAACAUUGACCUGUGUGUUUUUAUAAAAGAAAAAGUAUGUUGUGCCUUCUUCUUAAGAAUAAAG